UGGGAAAGUAAUAAAUCUGAGUAGGCUGGACUGCUCCAGGUUUGCUGCAAGAGCUCUCAGGUCAGCAGGAGAUGGUGUGUGUAGCAACUGGAUCUGCGAUCUGGUGGAUUCUGAGCCAAGCUCCUGGAAUUAUUCAGCUGCUCAGAAUAUUGUAUUUUCCAAUGAAAAGAAGGACACUGAAGAAAAACACCUCCAUUUAUUUCCUAUCCAAGAAAAUAAAUCUUAAUGUGCAACUACCCCAUCAAGUCUGUGAAGAUAUAGUCCUGAUUCAUUGAGAGAAGGUCCCACAGAAGCCCAUCCUCUGCACCGUACAAGCAUGGGGGCAGAACUUUAGCCUCAUCCAACAACACUGAACAAACAGCAGUGAUUUACGCUUUACACACACCAAAGCAAAGACCAUGAAGUCGAAAGGCUCAGUGUGAGACUCUCCCAAGCUUCGAGCUCCCUCUGCAGCAUUUUGCAAGGAAUCGUCUUGCCUCAAGAAACCUCUAAAUUAUUUGGUGAGGAAGCGGAUCAGUCAUGGCACUCCCGUUUCUGGGAAACUUCCACUGAAAUCUGAGCGGCUCUAAUAAAUCAUUUCAAGUAAGUUUUAUUCCGAUGUGGAGCGGUUAUGAUCUGUUGACCUUGGCAAAUGCUCUCUUUGCCAAAGCCCCGGGAAUUGCUUUCAAUGGCAAUAACUGAAGGACAGCGAGUUGCUCGGGUGUUUUCAUCUGUGAACGUGUCAAAGUAGAGUUAAUGGGUCAGAUUCAGACAUAAUAAAAGCGACUACUAAAUCACUAUGCCAGGCAUUAGGAGUGAGUUUAAAAGCAUUUAAGUAAUGAUUUAUAUCUUAAUUAAGUGAUGAUUUGUAUCUCUUAGUUCCACAUUCGUUACCAAUUCAGACUCCCUUAGAAUUACAGCGAUGUGUGGAAUCACUUUCGUGUCUCCUCGUCCAUCAGUGCUGAAUCUGGCCACUGAGUUCCUGGGAACACAUGAAAAUCUCAGUUGCUGUUUGCUUUCAAUUGCAUGUCAGGGGAUAGAGAAUUAAGGUAUAAAUUAUGCAGAUUUAGACUUUCUUCGCAUCGACCUGUCUCUGAAUUCAGCCAGCUGCCAUCACCACGCACAAGCUACGCACAAUGUGAUUUUAUUCCUCUUGUUUCACAGAGUCAUCUCCCUUCCCUUGGCAAAAUUAAAAAGAGAUUUUAUUUAACUGGAUUUUAUACUUGUCACUGGGGUUUGCAUCUGCUUUCUAAAUUAAUCCACGCUUUGUAAAUACAUUUCUCCUUGGCAUCAUACCACCCUUUGCCCUUUAUGUUAAUGUUAUUUCCUUUGCUUUGAAGUCUAUUUAGGGCUGCAGCAAGAAAAUCCAUCUCUCAACCCAGGUGCAUCUCAUCCCAGCUCAAAUUCUUUGUGCCAGUUCCUCUCGCUGUUUACCCUGAGACCCUGCCACAGGCUAAUUCCCAAUUUGCAGCACUUAGGGACUACACAAAAAUCUCUCUUUUAAACAGGUUUAAUAUUUUUAUCUGAGAGACUGGGAAUAAUAUGCUCGUUAGCUGCUUUUCAAGGUGCGCAUGAUGAGAUGACGUGUCAUCUUUCCUGGAUGAGGUGUACAAAGGUGGGGAAAAUAAAAGGAGGCUGAUGGGAGUCCCAAAUUUAUUUAUUCAUAUAACCUGAUAGGAUUUUAUGGGAAACAAAUCUUGUAUUCAGUGUGAAAUACGCUGCAGAUGCACAGAUGGGCUUCAUGUGUGUAGCUAGUUCCAUGUAUCACCUUUCCUGAUCAUGUGUGAGACGAGCCCUGUGCAACAGACUGAAACAGGAUGCUGAAAACCUCAGAGUUUUAUCUCAGGAGGGUUUGUGCCCGUGGGAGUUUCAAGAAUGUUUUGGAGAAGUUGUUGC